GAAAAGAGAAACACAUGUCUAAAGUGAUUCUUUGGAGUUAAUAUCAGAAGUGCCAGAAGAUCAUCUAAUAUGCAGUUCAUCAUGUAGUGAUUUGAACAGCAUUUGGGAGCCUCAUGUGACUUCAUUGAAGGAACACCUAUAAACAAACACUGCUUAAAGUGUUUUGCCUAUGAGCUAACAAUGUCAGUGAUGUCUACAGAGAGCUAAAGCCACUCGAAGAAUCCACAGCAACUUCUUUUGGUCAGUGAACACAGAAAUGGAGUAUCUCCACGUUGGCCAAGAUGGUCUCAGUCUCCUGACCUUGCGAUCCACCCACAUCGGCCUCCCAAAAUGCUGGGAUUACAGACGUGAUCCACCAUGCCCAGCCAGCCAUUGUUUAUUAUGGCAUUCUCAGGGUGAAAUUCAACAGAACUGCUUUACAGUGAAGGUCUUGAAGCCCACAAGAAACAUUCUUCUGGACAAAUUAUCGGGAGGUCAAGAGAAGAAUGCAUUUGCCAGACCAAUAGCUGCAUAUCAAGUGCCAGAGGAUGUGGUAAAUUGCUCAAGCAAUGAAACCGGUUCUGGUACCGGAGCUGCAAUUGGCAUCACCACCUGGGACUUUGCCAACAAUGUUGAACAGAGUGGUCUAAACCAUGAAUAUCAUAUCUAUUUGGGAAUUGGAAGUAUGAGUGGGUUUGGAGUAUUGGCAGGACGCUGUAAGAGGGGAAUUUAA
rnacentral:lncRNA from 13 species